rnacentral:lncRNA from 1 species
UGAAGUAUCCUUCUUCAAUCUUUCUCAUUCCAAAAAUCAGACGCAAGACUACUCUUAUUCCAACAAUCUUCUCUUCGUCUCUUCAACUAGUGUAGUAAUCUCAGGUAUGUUUUUCUUUUAGUAAUCUUUUGCCCAAAUCUUCUUCUAAUUCUCUUCGUGUUUUCCAAAUUCAUGUCUGAUGUUGUUAUUUUUCUGCCUCUUUUCGAUGUUCUUUGGACUUCAUUUUCUUCUUUUUGCUUUUCUUUUUGCCCUUAAUCUAUUAUACUGUUGCAUGAUUUUUCUUCGGUCUUCCGAAGACUACCCUUUCAGUUCGUUUUGUCUUCUCAGUUGGGGGUUACAAUUAAUUUCAGAUGUGCUUUUCUUAAUUUUUUGCCAGAAGUUUUUCCAUUUCUCUUCAGUCUCUCCAGUUUUACAGCUGAAGUUAGUGGCAGAUGUCUUCUUUUCUUUCGGUUCUCUUCGGUCGUCCCGAUUUCUGUUCUAUUCUUGGAAGUUAAUAUGAAUUUUCAAGUUGGUAAUUUAUUUAAUCUAUCAUCAGUUAAAAACGAUUUCUUAAUUUAGCACAUUUCAGGCGCAGGUUCUACGCAUAUAAUGUGUCAAGAAUCAAGACAACAACUUAAAUUAAUUUGUAGACUUUUCAGCAUAGUUCUUUUUUUGCUCUUUGAAAUUAUCGUACGGUUCCUUAUUUUUAGUUCUUUUUUUCUUUCUUAUUCGGGUGUAUUAUAUGUUUUGGAAAUUUGUGCUUUUGCUACUGUGCAAGGAUUACAUAUAAAAAUUCAACUUUGGAAUUUGAUUUCUGCUUUUCUGUUCUUCCAGAUUUUUUAUGGGCUCCUAUUUUGAAACUCCUUUAGAUAUAUAACAUAGUAGUCAAAUGGUUGUUGUCAUCAAUUCGUUGUCUAAUUCUCUCUUCAUUAUUUGUCGAUCAAAUGGACCAGUGUGACAGAAUUAUAUUCCUGCGUAGUGUACUUUUUUUAGAGUGUUUAAUGAUUAGUAAAAGCGAAACAAAAGGUGGUUGCAUGUGUUUUGUCUUAUAUAGAUGAAAUAUUGAUGCAUUCAAUGUUUUCUGAGCUGUUAAGUUGUAUUGAUUAAGUUUGACCGUUUGUUGCACAUAACUUUGUAACUUUUUAUUUUAGCAUGUUACUGCAAAUUCUUUUAUUCAUAAUUACAGAUAAACCACUGACAAAAUAAAGUUUUUUGUUGUCUUUAUUUUCAGGAACUUUGAAUUAUAGUUACAGGCACUGUCGACCUAAAAAAGUAAGUGUAUGCUAUUUUUACUUAAUACAUUCAAUGCAUAAGCUAUUACUUUAUACGUAAUUGACAAAAAUUAUUUGUAUGUGUCAUUUGGAAUGAAUGAAGUGUUCUUUGUGUCGCUGUUAAGCGAUUUAUGCUCAUCGCAUUAGUAAUACCAUGAUAUAAUUUAUGUCAUUUAUGUUUGUCGUGCAAGCUUUGAACGAGAAAUUCUGUGCUUUUCAUUAUCUCUAUCUGGUAUCUGGUGUUAGAUCUAAAUAACCAAUGAACAAAAUUUCCUUAUAAAAAAUUUGUGAAUCAUAAUAGCUCUUUUACCUCAGCAUUAUUAAGGUAAAAGUAUCAAUUCUGGGAUGAAAUUAAGACAAUAUAAGACAUCUAAAACAUCCUCUCUUUGAACAUUCUAUUGUCAAUGAUUCAAGUGGUAUUUCAUCGUCCUUUUAAUGCCACAAGAGGCUCAUCUUUCCCUCUUCAAAGAGAUUAUAAAGUACCAUUUUUUAUUCUCAAUAUAGCCUAUAACACUAUGUUUAAUCGUGAUUGUGUGCACAUUUGCCUAGGCCUCUGCCUCGUCUCAGUUGGUAAUUAAUUUAAUUUGACAAGUUUUCAGAUAAGUUAGAACUUGAAAUUACGAUGCAAUAACAGAUACCAACUAUUGUUAAUCUGCUUGAGUACAACCUCCAAUAACUGAAAGAUGGAUAAUCACAUAAGAAAAACUACUGCCAUGUACUAAAUUCAGGAUAAAUAAAUUCACUUUCUUUCUUGGACAUAUUGACGUAUUCCUUCUCCGCCUUUAUAAGUAUACAAGGCAGCGGCUCCAGUAAAAGUUAUUUCUAAACUAAGAAGAAGUGGCAAUGACAAGGACCAAAUGAUUUUAACAGUUGAAAUAAGUUUGCUUAACAAUUUUUAGUUUUGUGUAUGUUUUAAGAGUAAACUAUUCUUUUAGGUCCCUUUUCAGUUUACCACUCUUGAACUAGAUCUUAUACUUUUCAUUUACCUUGUGUAAUUUUUAAGAACCUACUUAGCACUUAAACUUGUCCAAAUUAGAGUCUUACCCAGUUUAAAGAAGUUUUAUCCUCUCUGAGACAUCAUAUGAAGUCGGGAGUAUUUGUUGUACUACCCUGUAGGAAUUUUAAUAUGCUUUCGGAUUACUUUAAUUAUAUUGGUCCGAUUGGCAGUUUGAAAACUUUAGGUUUAUAUCGUUCAAAUAGAAUGCAAGAGUUGCAUUUUUUUUUGUUGUGGACUGUGGAGUUUUUGCUGAAGGAAGAUCAUGAUUCAACAUUAUCAUGACGGAUUAAUUUGUGAGAAUGAGAAUCUAUUCAGUUUACGAUUUCACCAUCCAAUUGCUAUAUGAAUUCCCUUCUACAUCUGAAGCUUCAGACAAAAAUAAGUUAUUUUUUCAUCAAAUGAAUUUCCUUCUACCAGAAGAACUUCAGUACAGGAAAAAAUAUUUAUUUAUAUUCUUUUGGAUUAUAUAAAAAGUAAUCUAGCUGAAAUAGAUAUGGUUUGCUCAAUAACCUCUACCAUGUUUGUAAAGCUGCAUAAGAUUUUGCUAAUAAAAAUAUAGAGCAUUAAUUAGGGUGCUCAAAGCGGAGGCAUAUUAUAGUGAAUAAUGAGAGAUUUCAUACUCGUGAAUCAUCAUAGAAUUUCUCUGUUGUGGAAUUCAAACAUCUCUUCUUUCUUUUUUUUAUCUGCAUGACUAUCCUCUGAUGAGAAAGAGUCUAAAAGGAGUGAUGAACUUCCACGUGCUGAAACAAUACCUUUGCCAUUGUCCAAUUCAGUAGAUGAAUACUGUUGGGAGUGUCCAAAUGUAUGCCUUCUACGUUUUUCAUAAUAGAUGUACUAAUGUAACUUUUAAGCGAUCGCACUUUCCCUAAUUUCAUUUGAAUUUUGAGUUUGUUAUGGGACCUGCCUUAUUUUUAUCUGGUGUUUCUACUGUUUAACUAGCAGUGAUAUUAUGGGAAUUUUUUUGAUUGCAUCAGAAAAGUGAAUUUCGUGAUAUUGCAC